GUGUUCCGUUCGACCAGGUCCGGCCGUCGGCACUGGCCGUCGACGCCGAGGAGCGUCGGCGGGUGUUCGACGAACGCUGGAAUGCG
rnacentral:tRNA from 1 species